rnacentral:misc_RNA from 1 species
GAUGAAGAACGCAGCGAAAUGCGAUAAGUAAUGUGAAUUGCAGAAUUCAGUGAAUCAUCGAAUCUUUGAACGCACAUUGCGCCCCUUGGUAUUCCGAGGGGCAUGCCUGUUCGAGCGUCAUUAUAACCCCUCAAGCUCAGCUUGGUGUUGGGGCCUGCUGCACUGGCAGCCCUUAAAAUCAGUGGCGGCGCCAUCUGGCUCUAAGCGUAGUAAUUCUUCUCGCUGUUGAGCUCCGGUGGUCGCCCGCCAGCAACCCCCAACUUUUACAGUUUGACCUGGGAUGAGGUAGGGAUACCCGCUGAACUUAAGCAUAUCAAUAAGCGGAGGA